rnacentral:rRNA from 1 species
GAACGCUGGCGGCGUGCUUAACACAUGCAAGGCGAACGGAAAGGCCCUGCUUUUGUGGGGUGCUCGAGUGGCGAACGGGUGAGUAACACGUGAGUAACCUGCCCUUGACUUUGGGAUAACUUCAGGAAACUGGGGCUAAUACCGGAUAGGAGCUCCUGCUGCAUGGUGGGGGUUGGAAAGUUUCGGCGGUUGGGGAUGGACUCGCGGCUUAUCAGCUUGUUGGUGGGGUAGUGGCUUACCAAGGCUUUGACGGGUAGCCGGCCUGAGAGGGUGACCGGCCACAUUGGGACUGAGAUACGGCCCAGACUCCUACGGGAGGCAGCAGUGGGGAAUAUUGCACAAUGGGCGGAAGCCUGAUGCAGCAACGCCGCGUGCGGGAUGACGGCCUUCGGGUUGUAAACCGCUUUCGCCUGUGACGAAGCGUGAGUGACGGUAAUGGGUAAAGAAGCACCGGCUAACUACGUG